CUGCCAGAACUACUAUUUCCAAGAGCACUAGCAGAAGUACCACUACCAGAACUACUACUGCAAAGAGCACUUUCAGAACUACCACAACAGAGCUCUGCUACAAUGGUGGAACCUAUGAUGGGAUCAAAUGCAACUGUAAUGAGGAUUUAUUCUAUGGGCCCAAGUGUGAGUUUGCUGUGGAUGAGAUACCUGUCAGACAAUUAUCUGUGACCAUUAUUGUUGAAGCCCGGGUGAAGAUUACUAACAGAGACUACAACAAAUCGCUGGAAGACUUAAGCUCUGACUAUUCUCAGAAAAUUCAGGCUCAGUUUAGAGAGCAGAUGCGGGUUAUUUAUG